CAUCAUCAUGCUCGGGUACAUCUGAUGACACCAUCAUUCUGAAUUUCACUGUGUGUGACGAUGUUGAAGAAGUAGCGGCUGGCGAAGGAAGCCAGCCUAAAAGGCCAUGCCACAUAAACUAUGAGGCAAAAGCACUGAUUGAAAAAAUCCUAACAUCAAAGCCUGGUGGUGAACGCAUUAUGCAAGAGUAUGGAAAAACCAAAUCUCUGACAGAUGCCACCAGAAGACAGAUGAUCAACAUACUUGCUGCUGAGAUGACAGAAACACAUGGGACAUCCCCCCA